rnacentral:rRNA from 1 species
CCUACGGGCGGCAGCAGUGGGGAAUAUUGGACAAUGGGCGAAAGCCUGAUCCAGCCAUGCCGCGUGUGUGAAGAAGGCCUUCGGGUUGUAAAGCACUUUCAGUGGGGAAGAAAGCCUUGGGGCUAAUACCCUCGAGGAAGGACAUCACCCACAGAAGAAGCACCGGCUAACUCCGUGCCAGCAGCCGCGGUAAUACGGAGGGUGCGAGCGUUAAUCGGAAUUACUGGGCGUAAAGCGCGCGUAGGCGGUCUGAUAAGCCGGUUGUGAAAGCCCCGGGCUCAACCUGGGAACGGCAUCCGGAGUUGUAGGGGAGAAGGGGAGAGGAGGGAGUUAAAAGUCCGUGGGGAGCGGGGAAAGGCGGAGAGGCGGGGGGAAAGCGCGGUGGGGAAGGGGGCCUCGUGGAUGAACAAUGACGAUCGUGGUCGAAAGCGUGGCGAGCAAACAGGAUUAGAUACCCGAGUAGUC